AAAAUAAAAUAUUAAAAUCUCAGGUACCUUUCUUUAUUGUGAGGUGACUUCCUUCCCCUUCAACCACGCAAUCCUUCAAAAUAUAUCACUAACAUGGUUCUCUUGUGUUUUCAUUUUAAAUUCGAUCGCUCAAAUAAACGCCAACUCUCUCAAUUGCUCUUCGGGUGACUGUCACCUUUCUGAUAAUGCCCGUUCUAAGCGACCACAUCUUGCUGCCACCUCACUAGCAACACAUACUGAUCGAAGAUCUUCGUCUUGAGACACUGCGUAUUAACAAUGCUGGGGCCAAAAAGCUAUCUAGUGGCAAUCACGUACUGGAAGGCAUGGCGUGGUGGAAGGAUCGCAGCUGAGCAAGAAGUCUUGACGUUUGAUUAAGAAGGAUCAGCGAAAACUCAAAUAUUACCAUAGAUCCAUAUAUAUUUACCAUAGUUGUGCAAACUGAACUUUACGAUGACAACGUGUGACAAAUGAUAGUAGUGCAAAUUGCUGUGUUUGAUAACUUAUACGCAACUCAUGCUAUAGAAGCUUUUUUUUAAAUUACAGUACCGUUUUAAGAGACCACUAUACUUAAUUAAAACGCUCGGUUUGUUUUUAGCCUUCCAUUUUUUUCUGUAGUGUAAAUAAAUAUAUCUCAAAAAUAGAAUUCGCAAUCUUCUUGAACUAGUACUACAAUAGCAUCAGGAAAAUGAAAAGUUACGUCCAUGAAACGCCCAAUUUCAUUCCAACAGGAAAAUCUGCAAAAUAGCUGAAUACCACCUUAAUUAUGAAUUGUUUAGCUAAUUUUAUUAAAUUAUCAUAAAAAUACAAGAAAAUCCAAUGACAUAGCAUAAAAAUGAGAAAAUCAACAGUUUGAACAGGCUAACUCUCAACAAUCGCACGGUAUUACAUUUGUACAAUUUAUUACAAAUUUAUUUAAGUUUUAAUAACGCACGAAUACAAAAAUUCAAAUCACUUUGUCAAUCUCAGAAUGUGAUUAAUCAACGAAAAUUAUAUUAUGCUCCAAUCUCCAAUCCAUUAACUAAAUUACAUAAAGUUUAAGAUUUAUUAUUGUUUGAUAUUCUUGUGGACUACAUCAUUUUUCGCGAACAUAACACAUGGUGGUAACUAUCUGUUGAGCACGUGGCGUGAAGGAGCUGAAUGCCGCCCUUGUAUUAGACGAGAACACAUUUGACGCCCACAUGCGCCAAUAUUUGGCUGCACGAAGAAAACUCAGCCAGCGGAUAUGAUAUGAUGAUCAUUAAAAGAUUUUUUAAUUGCUCGAGAACAUUAAAACAUUAAUACUA